AUUGAACGCUGGCGGCAGGCUUAACACAUGCAAGUCGAGCGGGGGAAGGUAGCUUGCUACCGGACCUAGCGGCGGACGGGUGAGUAAUGCUUAGGAAUCUGCCUAUUAGUGGGGGACAACAUCUCGAAAGGGAUGCUAAUACCGCAUACGUCCUACGGGAGAAAGCAGGGGAUCUUCGGACCUUGCGCUAAUAGAUGAGCCUAAGGCGGAUUAGCUAGUUGGUGGGGUAAAGGCCUACCAAGGCGACGAUCUGUAGCGGGUCUGAGAGGAUGAUCCGCCGGACUGGGACUGAGACACGGCCCAGACUCCUACGGGAGGCAGCAGUGGGGAAUAUUGGACAAUGGGGGGAACCCUGAUCCAGCCAUGCCGCGUGUGUGAAGAAGGCCUUAUGGUUGUAAAGCACUUUAAGCGAGGAGGAGGCUACUUUAGUUAAUACCUAGAGAUAGUGGACGUUACUCGCAGAAUAAGCACCGGCUAACUCUGUGCCAGCCGCCGCCGUAA
rnacentral:rRNA from 1 species